GUCUACAGCCAUGCUACCCUGAACAAGCCCGAUCCUGUCUGAUCUCGGAAGCUAAGCAGGGUCAGGCCUGGUUAGUACUUGGAUGGGAGACCACCUAGGAAGACCACGCACUGUAGGCG
rfam:Pteropus alecto contig95047, whole genome shotgun sequence.